GUUUUGUUGGGGUUGAGUUCCAUGAAGAAGAAGCUCACUGAGUGUGAUGCCUUAACAAAAGCAGCACACGUCCUACAAAGAAGUAAGGGCACAUGGACAUCCAGCCAUCUUGAAACCUGCUCUGCAAGGCAUUCAUACCCACAAGGAAAGAUGAAGGUGAAGAGCUGUGUCCUGGUGGCUAUUGCUUCUGUAACAACCGCUCAGAUGAGGACUUCCCAUGAUUUCCUCAGUGCCCUCAUGCUGCAGCUCUUCUCCAGGCUGGGAUGGUCGGGGUUUCCUCUGCAUCCAUCUGACGUAGUGGCAUCUCAAAGGCUGUGGGCAGGGAGGUGCUGGAGGACACACCAUGACCACCAAGACUCAGACUGCUCUGGAAAGAUGUAGGAAGCUGUGCCAAAACCUGCUUAAAUUUCCCCAAGAGAUUGGUUGCCUCAGUAAACGAUUCAGGCUAUGCCUGGGGCUAAUAGUCAAUAUACAGCUAUUAUUAAACUUUCAUGUUAUUUCGAAGGUAAACAGCAUUUUGUUUUGUUGCGGCUUUAAUUGAAAUUAAGGUCCGUAAUUGGAUAGUGCAGAACAGCCUUUUGUUUCAGGAACAUGAUAGGAGUGAAUCUGUCUCUUCUCACAGAGCAGAGGCUUGCUCUUAUCUGCACUGAAAAAAAAAAGAAAACAAAAAAGAAAUGAUAGUUAUUGUGAAAUAGGUCAUAUGGUAGAAAAAUGUCCUCUGCUUCCUCAGGUGUCCCUUGAUUCCAGGAGGGUGGUAUCAGGGGACAGCAGUGUCCAUGUCAGAUGUACAGAGCUGAGGGCCAAAGGGUAAUUAAAAACAUCAUGAAAGUAAUUUGGUCGUUGAACCUGCUGUAAGUCCUGGGCAUCUUAAGGAGCAAAUACCGCCAUGGUUUUUUCCCCUCAGGAAUACAGUGCUA
rnacentral:lncRNA from 1 species